AUACGGAGGGUCCAAGCGUUAUCCGGAUUCAUUGGGUUUAAAGGGUCCGCAGGCGGGAAAAUAAGUCAGUGGUGAAAGCCUACAGCUCAACUGUAGAACUGCCAUUGAAACUGUUUUUCUUGAGUAUAGAUGAAGUGGGCGGAAUAUAUCAUGUAGCGGUGAAAUGCAUAGAUAUGAUAUAGAACACCGAUUGCGAAGGCAGCUCACUAAACUAUUACUGACGCUCAGGGACGAAAGCGUGGGGAGCGAACAGGAUUAGAAACCCCGGUAGUCC
rnacentral:rRNA from 1 species